GGAUGUGAGGGCGAUCUGGCUGCGACAUCUGUCACCCCAUUGAUCGCCAAGGUUGAUUCGGUUGGCUAGACGGGUGUCCUCUUCCUCCCUCACCACUCCAUGUGUGUCCCUCCCAAAGCUGCAUGCUCUGUCGAAGAGGAUGACCUUCCUGAUAAAGGAGAGGACCGUUUUUCGGUCAAGGGUAUAUGAGUAGCUGCACUCCCCUUCUAGAACCUCCAAACAAGCUCUCAACGUCCAGUUGUAGGAGAACAUAGGGUGGUCAAGCUUCCAAGACUCCAGACACAUCCAAAUGAGGCGCUGCAUGUGGCGGUCUGCCUUUCUUA
rnacentral:snRNA from 1 species